GUAGGUGAACCUGCGGAAGGAUCAUUAUCACGUUAUCCACGUUAUUACCAACCGUGAACUGUUCGGUCCGUAUGAGAGGCUCAUUCUUCUUGUGCGUUAGACCAAAACCCCAUUUGAAGUUUUUCAACUUCUUUUGGGUGAUUUGAACCAUUAACCAAUUGAACCAAUUUUUUAUACUUUAUGUACUUACUAUUUGUUGUUUCUUACCUUUUAACGAAGGAAGAAAUGUUAUAAAAAAUACGCAACAUGA
rnacentral:misc_RNA from 1 species